rnacentral:pre_miRNA from 1 species
AGUAGGAUAGCUGGGUCAGAUGUAGUUCCAUUCCAAGUUUUCUUAGGAAUCUCCAUACUGCUUUCCAAAGUGGUUGCACUGAUUUGCAGUCCCACCAGCAAU